GCCCGGGUGGUGAAAUUGGUAGACACAAGAGACUUAAAAUCUCUCGCUCUUCGAGUGUACGGGUUCGACCCCCGUCCCGGGCACCA
rnacentral:tRNA from 1 species